CGGUAAUACGGAGGGUGCAAGCGUUACUCGGAAUCACUGGGCGUAAAGGGCGCGUAGGCGGAUUAUCAAGUCUCUUGUGAAAUCUAAUGGCUUAACCAUUAAACUGCUUGGGAAACUGAUAGUCUAGAGUGAGGGAGAGGCAGAUGGAAUUGGUGGUGUAGGGGUAAAAUCCGUAGAUAUCACCAAGAAUACCCAUUGCGAAGGCGAUCUGCUGGAACUCAACUGACGCUAAGGCGCGAAAGCGUGGGGAGCAAACAGGAUUAGAUACCCUGGUAGUCCACGCCCUAAACGAUGUACACUAGUUGUUGGGGUGCUAGUCAUCUCAGUAAUGCAGCUAACGCAUUAAGUGUACCGCCUGGGGAGUACGGUCGCAAGAUUAAAACUCAAAGGAAUAGACGGGGACCCGCACAAGCGGUGGAGCAUGUGGUUUAAUUCGAAGAUACGCGAAGAACCUUACCUGGGCUUGAUAUCCUAAGAACCUUUUAGAGAUAAGAGGGUGCUAGCUUGCUAGAACUUAGAGACAGGUGCUGCACGGCUGUCGUCAGCUCGUGUCGUGAGAUGUUGGGUUAAGUCCCGCAACGAGCGCAACCCACGUAUUUAGUUGCUAACGGUUCGGCCGAGCACUCUAAAUAGACUGCCUUCGUAAGGAGGAGGAAGGUGUGGACGACGUCAAGUCAUCAUGGCCCUUAUGCCCAGGGCGACACACGUGCUACAAUGGCAUAUACAAUGAGACGCAAUACCGCGAGGUGGAGCAAAUCUAUAAAAUAUGUCCCAGUUCGGAUUGUUCUCUGCAACUCGAGAGCAUGAAGC
rnacentral:rRNA from 1 species